rnacentral:tRNA from 1 species
GGUGCCAGUAGUUCAGGGGUAGAGCGCCAGAUUGUGGAUCUGGUUGUCGUGGGUUCAAAUCCCACCCGGCACCC